rnacentral:rRNA from 1 species
AUGACAAAAAUGAACAGAUGCUACUACCUCCUCCCCGAGGAAGAUGACCCGGUCAGAACUGUUCAGAACAAAAACUGUAUUGGGGAAGUGAUGUUUCUGACCGCUGUUGCUCGACCUAGAUAUGACGCUGAAGGCAAUAUGACAUUCUCAGGUAAAAUUGGUGUCUGGCCCUUUGUGCAAGAGAUUCCUGCUGCUAGAAGAAGUGAGUAUAGAGCAAGAGGGACCAUUGAAAUCAAGUCCGUCAACGUGAACCGACGAGUAAUGAGGAGGUAUAUGAUAGAAAAAGUGGUUCCUGGAAUAAAGGAAGUCUGGCCCGCAGAUGAUACUAAUCCAAUAUUGAUCCAGCACGAUAAUGCAAGAACGCACAUUCUUCCCGGUGAUGCAGAGUUUGCAGAAGUUGUGGCUACAACUGGUCUGGACAUUAAAAUAAUAAACCAGCCUCCAAAUUCUCCUGAUCUAAACACACUUGAUCUUGGAUAUUUCAGAUCCCUUGAGUCUUUGACCGACUGUAGAGCACCCACAACUAUCAAAGAACUGAUUCAAGGUGUGCAGGAAGAAUUUGAUGAGUGUGAUGCCGGAAAAAUCAACAGAAUAUUUCUAACACUUUAG